rnacentral:rRNA from 1 species
UACGUAGGUGGCAAGCGUUGUCCGGAUUUACUGGGCGUAAAGAGCGCGCAGGCGGGCUUUUAAGCCAGACGUGAAAUCCCCGGGCUUAACCUGGGAAUGGCGUUUGGGACUGGAAGUCUGGAGUGCGGCAGAGGAGACUGGAAUUCCUGGUGUAGCAGUGAAAUGCGUAGAUAUCAGGAGGAACACCGAUGGCGAAGGCAGGUCUCUGGGCUGACACUGACGCUCAUGCACGAAAGCGUGGGGAGCAAACAGG